GCCAUGAGCGUCCCCCUCCUGUGCUGGGGGGUGUGGGGUCUCCUGCAGGCAGGUGUGGUGAAGGCUGGGGUCUCUCAGAGCCCCAGAUUCCAGAUCCUGAGGGCAGGACAGAGCAGGAACCUGAGUUGUGUCCAGGAUAUGAACCACGACUACAUGUACUGGUAUCGCCAGGACCGGGGACUUGGGCUGAGGCUGAUCCACUACUCAAUCCGCAAUGAGAUAUACAAGGGAGACAUCCCCGAUGGGUACAAGGUCUCUAGACCAAGCACAGCCAACUUCCUGCUCACGCUGGAGUCUGCCACCACCUCCCAGACAGCUGUGUACUUCUGUGCCACCAGCUAUGCACAGCGCUGCAGACUGACCUCCUCUCUGUACAAGAAGGCAGGGCCCUGCACCCCGGACUCAUCAUGCCCUUUGCAGACCCAGAAUAGGGAACCCAGGAGCCCUGAGGCCCUGGGCAUUGUGAAUCCAGGCCCAGUGGACUCUGAAGUCACGCAGAACCCCAAGUAUCUGGUCACAGUGAGAGGACAGAACGUGACCCUCACAUGUUCCUAUGAGUCUGGAACUGUCUGUGUACUGUCAGUGACAGCGGUUCUGCAGGUAGAUGCCCCCAUGACAUGGGAUGUUCCAGAUGAAAAGAGAACAUUUUCCAUCUCCCUGGAUCUGCCCUUCCUCUGA